AUGCGCCAUGCCGCGUGUGUGAAGAAGGCCUUCGGGUUGUAAAGCACUUUCAGUCGUGAGGAAGGUGGUGUAGUUAAUAGCUGCAUUACUUGACGUUAGCGACAGAAGAAGCACCGGCUAACUCCGUGCCAGCAGCCGCGGUAAUACGGAGGGUGCGAGCGUUAAUCGGAAUUACUGGGCGUAAAGCGCAUGCAGGUGGUUUGUUAAGUCAGAUGUGAAAGCCCGGGGCUCAACCUCGGAAUAGCAUUUGAAACUGGCAGACUAGAGUACUGUAGAGGGGGGUAGAAUUUCAGGUGUAGCGGUGAAAUGCGUAGAGAUCUGAAGGAAUACCGGUGGCGAAGGCGGCCCCCUGGACAGAUACUGACACUCAGAUGCGAAAGCGUGGGGAGCAAACAGGAUUAGAUACCCUGGUAGUCCACGCCGUAAACGAUGUCUACUUGGAGGUUGUGGCCUUGAGCCGUGGCUUUCGGAGCUAACGCGUUAAGUAGACCGCCUGGGGAGUACGGUCGCAAGAUUAAAACUCAAAUGAAUUGACGGGGGCCCGCACAAGCGGUGGAGCAUGUGGUUUAAUUCGAUGCAACGCGAAGAACCUUACCUACUCUUGACAUCCAGAGAACUUUCCAGAGAUGGAUUGGUGCCUUCGGGAACUCUGAGACAGGUGCUGCAUGGCUGUCGUCAGCUCGUGUUGUGAAAUGUUGGGUUAAGUCCCGCAACGAGCGCAACCCUUAUCCUUGUUUGCCAGCGAGUAAUGUCGGGAACUCCAGGGAGACUGCCGGUGAUAAACCGGAGGAAGGUGGGGACGACGUCAAGUCAUCAUGGCCCUUACGAGUAGGGCUACACACGUGCUACAAUGGCGCAUACAGAGGGCAGCAAGCUAGCGAUAGUGAGCGAAUCCCAAAAAGUGCGUCGUAGUCCGGAUUGGAGUCUGCAACUCGACUCCAUGAAGUCGGAAUCGCUAGUAAUCGUGGAUCAGAAUGCCACGGUGAAUACGUUCCCGGGCCUUGUACACACCGCCCGUCACACCAUGGGAGUGGGCUGCAAAAGAAGUAGGUAGUUUAACCUUCGGGAGGACCUUACCACUUUGUGGUUCAUGACUGGGGUGAAUCGAAACAAGGGAACCA
rnacentral:rRNA from 1 species